rnacentral:rRNA from 1 species
CAGUAGCCGCGGGAAUACGUAGGGUGCAAGCGUUAUCCGGAAUUAUUGGGCGUAAAGAGCUCGUAGGCGGUUUGUCGCGUCUGCUGUGAAAACCGGAGGCUCAACCUCCAGCCUGCAGUGGGUACGGGCAGACUAGAGUGCGGUAGGGGAGAUUGGAAUUCCUGGUGUAGCGGUGGAAUGCGCAGAUAUCAGGAGGAACACCGAUGGCGAAGGCAGAUCUCUGGGCCGUAACUGACGCUGAGGAGCGAAAGCGUGGGGAGCGAACAGGAUUAGAUACCCGCGUAGUCCCUGUCUCUUAUAC